rnacentral:rRNA from 1 species
GAUGAACGCUGGCGGCGUGCCUAAUACAUGCAAGUAGAACGCUGAAGCGAGGAGCUUGCUCUUUCCUCAUGAGUUGCGAACGGGUGAGUAACGCGUGGGUAACCUACCUAGUAGCCGGGGAUAACUAUGGGAAACGAUAGCUAAUACCGCAUAACAUAAGAUAUUGCAUGGUACCUACUUAAAAGAUGCAAUUGCUCUACUACAUGAUGGACCUGCGUUGUAUUAGCUAGUUGGUGAGGUAACGGCUUACCAAGGCGACGAUGCGUAGCCGACCUGAGAGGGUGAUCGGCCACACUGGGACUGAGACACGGACCAGACUCCUACGGGAGGCAGCAGUAGGGAAUCUUCGGCAAUGGGCGGAAGCCUGACCGAGCAACGCCGCGUGAGUGAAGAAGGUUUUCGGAUCGUAAAACUCUGUUGUAAGAGAAGAACGAAUGUGAAAGUGGAAAGGCAACACUGGGAGGGUACUUUACCGGAAAGGGAGGGCUAACUACGU